CGUCUCAGUUCGGAUUGUAGUCUGCAACUCGACUACAUGAAGCUGGAAUCGCUAGUAAUCGCGAAUCAGAAUGUCGCGGUGACUACGUUCCCGGGUCUUGUACACACCGCCCGUCACACCAUGGGAGUCGGGAAUGCCCGAAGCCGGUGACCCAACCGAAAGGAGGGAGCCGUCGAAGGCAGGUCUGAUAACUGGGGUGAAGUCGUAACAAGGUACC
rnacentral:rRNA from 1 species